AACGAACGCUGGCGGCAUGCCUAACACAUGCAAGUCGAACGAAGUCUUCGGACUUAGUGGCGCACGGGUGCGUAACGCGUGGGAAUCUGCCCUUGGGUGCGGAAUAACUUCUCGAAAGGGAUGCUAAUACCGCAUAAUGUCGUAAGACCAAAGAUUUAUCGCCCAAGGAUGAGCCCGCGUAAGAUUAGCUAGUUGGUGGGGUAAAAGCCUACCAAGGCGACGAUCUUUAGCUGGUCUGAGAGGAUGAUCAGCCACACUGGGACUGAGACACGGCCCAGACUCCUACGGGAGGCAGCAGUGGGGGAAUAUUGGACAAUGGGCGAAAGCCUGAUCCAGCAAUGCCGCGUGAGUGAUGAAGGCCCUAGGGUUGUAAAGCUCUUUUACCAGGGAUGAUAAUGACAGUACCUGGAGAAUAAGCUCCGGCUAACUCCGUGCCAG
rnacentral:rRNA from 1 species